CAGUAGCCGCGGGAACACGAAGGGUGCAAGCGUUACUCGGAAUUACUGGGCGUAAAGCGUGCGUAGGUGGUGGUUUAAGUCCGUUGUGAAAGCCCUGGGCUCAACCUGGGAAUUGCAGUGGAUACUGGGUCACUAGAGUGUGGUAGAGGAUAGUGGAAUUUCCGGUGUAGCAGUGAAAUGCGUAGAGAUCGGAAGGAACAUCUGUGGCGAAGGCGACUAUCUGGGCCAACACUGACACUGAGGCACGAAAGCGUGGGGAGCAAACAGGAUUAGAUACCCCGGUAGUCCCUGUCUCUUAUAC
rnacentral:rRNA from 1 species